AACGGGACUAUCCCUCCAAGACGGAUACUCUUUAUAAAAAGAUUCAUUAUUUAUUCGACUCGUGGUGUUGGAACAGGUGAUGUAUGUGAUCUACAAUUCCAAAUAGUAAUGGAGAAAAAGGUUGUCUUUUCCAGUACUUCAUUAGGAAAUUGUUCGCUGCCUCCCUUGGCCUCCCAAAGUGCUAAGAUUACAGCCUCUGCCCGGCUGGCACCCCGUCUGGGAAGUGAGGAGCGCCUCUGCCCAGACGCUACCCCAUCUGGGAAGGGAGGUGCACCUGUGCCCGGCCCCUCCGUCUGGGA
rnacentral:lncRNA from 10 species